GGGGGAGCAGUCAGGAGACAACAAGGUCAAAGUGGGAGAUGAGACAAGAUGUCUAAGAGGUGAAGAGUAGGACAGACCCUCUGUAAUAAGAAAGGGAAACCAGAAAUAUCUGUGCAGGGUUGGUGCACUGAUUUGGCAGGGUUUCCACCACUCAUCUCUCUUUAGACUAACACUGCUAACAUUUUUGCAAUGUGUUUGCUUGUUCAGGCUGGAAUGGGCACGUGCCAAUGGAGUGACUUCAAAAUCCACAGGAGAAGCUUUGAUCUGAGCCUGGCGGGCAGCUCUGGCUUCUCCCGUACCUGAGCUCGCACACCUUGGCCCUGCUGGUGUUCUGACCAGCGCCACUCGGCCUCUUUGAGCUUUCAGACUCCAGAAUAAAUGAAUGUGCUGACGCUGAAGAAUCUUACAAGAAAGCUAAAAAUACCUCUAAUGAAAAACGUCUCUCCACAGCCCAGCACUUCAGGCCAACACAAGCAACCGGCUCAGCCCGAGCUCCCCGCCUUGGACCCGCGUUCGUCCCCCGCGGAACCAGCGCAGAGGACCUGGAGCCGUCAGCCUCCUGCCCAUGUGCUUCUGAUGAAGGGAGAGGUGACUUCAGGACGCCCAGUGACUCUUUUUGCUCUGUUUCACUUUCAGCAGAAACGUCUGCUCUUCCCCCGCUCCCUUCUGUACUCAAAUCCUCAGUGACCUGGCCAUAUUUGAACAAAGACACAAUAAAAGAAUCUUGCACAAAUGAGCUGCGGAUUACCCAAAAUAUCAACAACGGUUGAGAGUCGCUGUUUGAGACCGAGCAGGACGCAGGAAGGUGGUUUUAAGGCAUUUUCGUGCUCUCCUGAGCCGCAGAGCAGUCCUGGUGUCCCCGUCACCGGCCGCCCCAUCCUCCAGGUAAUGCCAGAAAAUGCGAUUCACAGCCCUCGCGCUGGGCUGUGCACAUACCCAGGCUCUGGCCAUGCUGUAAAAGGUACCAACACCCUCAAAGUCAAAUGUUUUUAAAGGCAAAACGUUUCUUCCCACUCUACAAAAUUCAAGCGCUAAUCUAAACAGCUCUUUAUAUGGGACUGAGUUCCAUAUGGAACUGCAUUUCAUAAGGAAUUGCUUUUAAAGGUGAUAAAUAACUUCUGAAAGCUUUCCUCAUUUGUCUCUGCAUUGUGCUUUGCUUUAUCAUCUGCAGUGCUAAGUACGACGGUGCAAACAACAACCAAGGGUGCAAAGCCAUCAGAAGAAAGCGGCAAAAUACUUUAUCUGCUUUCCAAUUCUUUGAUGUCUCCAGGAAUAAAAUAGGAAUUGACUUUCCAGCACAAACCUGAAACGACAGUUCAGGCAGAAGGAGCAGAGGACGGAGCAGCCGGGAGCUGAGCCCCGCGUGGGGAACCUGCAGCCUCCUCCAGGCAGCGCCGCCGAUCCACCGAAGCCUCUGUGGCUUUUGUGGGGAUGGGAAAACAUUACAGGAAUUAGACCCGUGGUUCUGCAGACCUUAACUAGAAACUUGAAGGCAAGAGCCUUUUUCUCCUGUCUCCAAAGCGCUUUCCACCCUGCGCUGCUGCCCGCAGCUGCCUCGAGCCCGUCUGCAUGCUGGACCCGGCUCAUACCUGAUUUAGUGGCGUUUUUCUCUGUUUUAGCAGCACUGAACCUUACUUGUCCAGCAAAAUUAGAGGAUACUGAACACAAAGAGAAACACACAGUUUACCAGCGAACCUACUCCCUCGGUACCACACAGGGAAUAAAGAUUGUGGUUGCAUCAAA